rnacentral:rRNA from 1 species
GACAGAGGGUGCAAACGUUGCUCGGAAUCACUGGCGUAAAGGGCGUGUAGGCGGGUAGGCAAGUCGGGCGUGAAAUCCCUGAGCUCAACUCAGGAACUGCACUCGAAACUGCUUAUCUUGAGUGCCGGAGAGGAAAGCGGAAUACCUGGUGUAGAGGUGAAAUUCGUAGAUAUCAGGUGGAACACCAGUGGCGAAGGCGGCUUUCUGGACGGUAACUGACGCUGAGACGCGAAAGCGUGGGGAGCAAACAGG